GCGGAGAAUCCUGUCAUAUUUUUCCACGGCUUUCUUGAACUUCACGAUCGGUGGUGAUUGCGGCGGCCGAUCGCAUUGAUGACAGAUCCGAAUAACAAGAUCAAGAAUGCCGUGGGAAGAUAUAGUGGGAUUCCGU
rnacentral:pre_miRNA from 1 species